rnacentral:rRNA from 1 species
UACAGAGGUCCCAAGCGUUGUUCGGAUUCAUUGGGCGUAAAGGGUGCGUAGGCGGCGCGGUAAGUCGGGUGUGAAAUCUCGGAGCUUAACUCCGAAACUGCAUUCGAUACUGCCGUGCUUGAGGACUGGAGAGGAGACUGGAAUUUACGGUGUAGCGGUGAAAUGCGUAGAUAUCGUAAGGAAGACCAGUGGCGAAGGCGGGUCUCUGGACAGUUCCUGACGCUGAGGCACGAAGGCCAGGGGAGCAAACAGGAUUAGAGU